UGUGAACUUUGUGAAUGGUUCGAAGUGAAAGCAGGUGAAAGUACAAAACCGCAGGCUGUCAAAAAGGAGGCCGGAGUUCACUGCCUACUCGUCCUUCACUCUUUGAGUUUCCAUCUGACCAAAAUGACAUCUACUCAUGAAGUAAUCCACCAGUCCAACCACUGGAAUCCUGUUGCUGGUUCUACACAAGCGCUCAGACUAGUAGACCUUCAUUAUAAAACAGAUUUGCAUAUA